UACGAAGGGGGCUAGCGUUGUUCGGAAUCACUGGGCGUAAAGCGCACGUAGGCGGAUUUGUCAGUCGGGGGUGAAAUCCCGAGGCUCAACCUCGGAACUGCCUCCGAUACAGCAAAUCUCGAGUCCGGGAGAGGUGGGUGGAAUUCCUAGUGUAGAGGUGAAAUUCGUAGAUAUUAGGAAGAACACCAGUGGCGAAGGCGGGCCACUGGCCCGGUACUGACGCUGAGGUUCGAAAGCGUGGGGAGCAAUCAGG
rnacentral:rRNA from 1 species